ensembl:lncRNA
GGAGAAGAGGUUUCUCUUGGAAUUGGUUUAACCAACACUACCCCUCCAUCCUCACAGGUGUACCCCUUACAGCAAGGAGUCUCUUCUGGAAUAAAAAGGAAGUCAAAUAUUCAGAAAACAAUGAUGAAGAAUAAAAUCAAAAAUUAUUUAAAGUCCUAGAAAAAAAAGCAUGGUAAUCUGAAUAUGACUUCAUCAGCUGAUAUUCCAAUACAGUGUCCUUUAUGUGUUUUCAACACCGUCGGUAUUUUAAAAGGUAAUACUGUGCCUCCAAUUGUCAUUAUACCCAAGAAUCAAAUUAUUGGAAUUCUGGACACAUCAGCACAAAACCGAAGACUCCCUGCCAAUUUCGUAGCCUGCUUGGAAGAGAACAUCAUAGAGCAUCACUCAUUUAUACGACUGCCAGCCUGAGAUUGUAAAUUCAGAAAACAAGAAGGCCUCAGGUGCUGCACUUUAACACGUCUUUCUGCUCCUGAAUCGCCCCCCUCCUCACUACCCCCACGUACAAGAUACAGACCCCACUCCAUAGGUGUGGAAACUGUGGCCCAAGAUCGACAAGACCUGCUUAAAACUGCACAGUAACUCAGCCAGACUUACACACGACCAGAACCUGGGUCUCCUGACCUAAGCAUGGACCGUUUUGCAAGCGCUGAGUAAGCAGGAGGUGCGAGCACUGAAUUCCCCAGGAAUUCUUGGAGCUGGACCAGCAGUGAGUUUGACCCAACGUGCAUGAGAAGCGUGUUGUUCAGCUGAUAAGGGAGCCGAGAACAUGCAUCAGCAAACACAGUUUGUUUAUCCCGUAAUAACUGGUUUUGAGUAGUACAGCAAAAAGUGGCUGGGUCUGCACGAGGCAGAUAAGAGCUCCUACCAAAAGGACGAGCAAAGGGCACAUGAGGCUUCCUGGAAACUUCAAAAGAGAAGCCUUCAGUGGGAAUGGAUGACUAAGGGAAUUGCAAAGGGUUUCUGGAGUCUUUUAUCUUUGCACUACCUCUUCAAAUCUGGCUCAACACUUCAGUAAUUUAUUGUUGCCGUCAUCUGAUGAAUGUUCACUGGGCUCAGGCUUUCUCGUACCGCACAGGUGUUCAGAGCCAAAAACCCCACUGCUGGAACCGCAGCCAGUGGUCGUCUUGUUAAGAAUCUCAGCUAACAACCCAAAGAGGGAACAUGUGGAGCUGAAAAGUGAGCUGCUAUCUGGUUCAUACAGAUGGCUUUUUUCAGGUGUGAAAGAAUCAGUAGUAGCAGCAUUUUCGAAGGGGCACACGAUUGUUCUCCAUUCUCCUCAAGCAAAGAGAGGCUUUUAGAGCUUCUAGGCAAAUGCAAAAGCUGCAUCUACACAACCGGGUUCCCCACACCUCCCACAAGAGCAUGGAGUAUUUCUCCAACGCUUAUUUUCAUUGGGGUCUUUCACACCUGCCCUAGGAUGAAUCAUACACAGUGAAAAUGCUGUAAGCAUGCGAAAUAAUGUAAAUUCCCAAAACUUUAUUAAGGCCUUUUUGACCAAAUUUGUAAUUAGCUCUCUUGGGAGCAUGCACGUAUGAUCUCCUGUGGACUCCUCAGGGCUAUUCUCUGUUAGCAUUACUCCAGCAUGGACAAAGGCACACAUACACAUACAAAACAAAAGAGUGGAUAUCAGCAUUGCUGGUGGAGGCCCAUCAUUGGCUCUGAUGGAGGCCCCUGCUGGUUACCCACUGCACUGAGUUUUUGGUCUAUGCUGCUCAUGUAAUUUAAUGUGUCAGCUUUUGGAGGCCAGGAUUGUGUCUUUCUGUGCUAUUUGCGCUCUGUAAAGUAAGCAAGUCUUUUUUGAAAAUUACAUGGUGAAUGUUUACGUUUUUGGUCAUAUCUCACAUAUGACUGACGUCGAAGUACACUGUGUGAAAGGAAAACCAACUCUGAACUGAGCAACCACAGGAAAAAAAUGAGACUUGGUUAUGUCAGUUUGGGUUAACGUGGAGCCCUUCCUCUGUGGAAAGAAAAAAAAAAAAGGAAAGACUAUUAAAAUUACACUCUAAUUGGAACUCAUAUCUUUGCAAACAUAAAUAAAUGCCUGAGUGCCAUUUCAGAGUUUAGACUCUGAGACUUCUUAUUUAUUUAUUUUAAUAAAGAAGACGAGCAUGGAGUCACUCAGACCCAUCCAACACAAGUUAGGGAAGAAGCAGACAUGUCCUGGUGACAAUCUUGGGCAGCCA